GGGCCCUGCUAGGCCGCGCCCGCCCCUGCCCCUCGCCGGGCCCGCCGGGCCGCCCUUUCCCCACCGCAACCCCCCUCCCCCGCGGCGCAGCGGGCCCGGGGCGGCCGGGCGGGCAGGGCCGAGGCGGCGGGUGCAACGCGGCCUGCGGCGACGGCCGAAGCCUGCGCUGGAGUAGCGCCCCCCCCCGCGCCCGCGGCCUGCGGGGCCCGGCGGCCGGCGCUGCAGUACCUGGAUGCACACUGAUUGGCUGCGAGGGCCUGGAGCAUUAUGGACAGAGGGGACAAGGGAGCAAGGGAGCUGCCCCCCAGCAACAGCUGAAUCUCCUGUUUGAACCCUCACUUCAUCCUCUCCCACGUGCCCUUCCCUCCUAUGAAAUGGAAGCACUGAGUACAACACGUACUGGCUACCAGCACAAGUUAGUACACAGCAGUCCUGCACCUGUCUCUCACAGGACUGUACUCAGCAGCCAUUGUGAGGAAAAGGCAUAAGUCAACAAAUACUGAGCUACAACAUAUACAGAUACUACCUGCAAAAAUGCAUUAAGUGAACAUUUUCCAGGUUGCAAAGUCAAGCUUACAGAAAUGAGGAAAUUCUGGAACUAACGUUUGCUUUGUGCAGCCUUAUUUUGAAACUCUUGCAAGCACACAUUAUGGUGCAAUCCUUAAUUACAUGUUGAUAUGUGACUUUUUUUCUACCUUGCUGUGGAGAUGAUUCAGGGCUGUGUACUGAAGGAGGUUGCUGUAUGUUGGACUCCUGCCUGUUAUGUUGCAGAAGUUGGAAAGGUAUGUAGUGAAUGAAGCAAUGAUUGCAGGAAGAGAAAGUGCAGUCUGAUAAUUAAAGUACUGGAGUGCCACGCUAGAGAGCUGGAUUCUCUCUGUCUGCCAAAGAGUUCAUAUGAGAUGCAGAACAUACUGCUUGAGCUAUACUGUCUGCAGGCACUCUUUAAUUGUAUGUUCCAUAUUUUCUGCGUGUCAGAAGUGUGAUGGCAGAGUGAUAAAAAUAUUUUUGCUAUUGCCCCUGAGACACAAGUUCAAGCCCUGUUCUGGACUCAUGCCAAAGACUGCCUCCAACUGACCCAAUUGUAACGGGUACCUGAUCAUUCAGACUGAGGAGUCAAAGGCAGUCAUAUGUGAUCUCUCCCUUGUAUGUUGUUGGCUAAGAAACUAGGGUGCCUUAAUUAUACUAACCCAAUGGGCCAACA